GACGAACGCUGGCGGCGUGCCUAAUACAUGCAAGUCGAACGCAGUGGGGAAGGGUGAGUAACACGGGGGUAACCUCCCAUCAGAGGGGAUAACACUUGGAAACAGGUGCUAAACCGAUACUGAUGGAUGAACCCGCGGUGCAUUAGCUAGUUGGGGAGGUAACGGCUCACAAGGCCACGAUGCAUAGCCGACCUGAGAUGGGGUUAGGUCACACUGGGACUGAGCCACGGCCCAGACUCCUCCGGGAGGCAGCAGUAGGGAAUCUUCGGCAAUGGACUAAAGUCUGACCGAGCAACGCCGCGUGAGUGAAGAAGGUGUUCGGAUCGUAAAACUCUGUUGUUAGAGCAGCGGUAUCUAACCAGAAAGCCAAGGCUAACUACGUGCCAGCAGCCGCGGUAAUAC
rnacentral:rRNA from 1 species